UGGCGGACGGGUGAGUAAUGUCUGGGAAACUGCCUGAUGGAGGGGGAUAACUACUGGAAACGGUAGCUAAUACCGCAUAACGUCGCAAGACCAAAGAGGGGGACCUUCGGGCCUCUUGCCAUCGGAUGUGCCCAGAUGGGAUUAGCUAGUAGGUGGGGUAACGGCUCACCUAGGCGACGAUCCCUAGCUGGUCUGAGAGGAUGACCAGCCACACUGGAACUGAGACACGGUCCAGACUCCUACGGGAGGCAGCAGUGGGGAAUAUUGCACAAUGGGCGCAAGCCUGAUGCAGCCAUGCCGCGUGUAUGAAGAAGGCCUUCGGGUUGUAAAGUACUUUCAGCGGGGAGGAAGGGAGUAAAGUUAAUACCUUUGCUCAUUGACGUUACCCGCAGAAGAAGCACCGGCUAACUCCGUGCCAGCAGCCGCGGUAAUACG
rnacentral:rRNA from 1 species